ensembl:snRNA U5 U5 spliceosomal RNA
AGCUCAAGUUUCUAUUCAUUCAUGUAUAAAUCUUUCGCCUUUUACUAAAGAUUUCCGUAGAGGGGAAUGUUGAUGAAUGUUGCUGAUUUUUUUGACGGCUUUGUUUUUAGCGAAGCU